rnacentral:rRNA from 1 species
AGAGUUUGAUCCUGGCUCAGAAUGAACGCUGGCGGCGUGCCUAAGACAUGCAAGUCGUACGAGAAAGCACCUUCGGGUGUGAGUAGAGUGGCGCACGGGUGAGUAAGACUUAGGUAACCUACCUUUUCGCUGGGGAUAACCAGGAGAAAUUCUGGCUAAUACCGAAUAAUCGUUAAAAACUGCGGUUUUUAAUGAGAAAGCCUUCGGGCGCGAUUAGAUGGGCCUGAGCCCCAUUAGCUUGUUGGUGAGGUAAGAGCUCACCAAGGCUACGAUGGGUAGCUGGUUUGAGAGGAUGAUCAGCCGCACUGGUACUGGAAUACGGACCAGACUCCUACGGGAGGCAGCAGUUAGGAAUAUUGCGCAAUGGGGGAAACCCUGACGCAGCAACGCCGCGUGAGUGAUGAAGGUUUUCGGAUCGUAAAGCUCUUUCAGUAAGGAAGAAAAAAAUGACGGUACUUACAGAAGAAGCACCGGCUAACUCCGUGCCAGCAGCCGCGGUAAUACGGAGGGUGCGAGCGUUAUUCGGAUUUAUUGGGCGUAAAGCGCGCGUAGGCGGUUUGGAAAGUCUGCUGUGAAAGCCCACGACUCAAUCGUGGAACUGCAGUGGAUACUACCAGACUAGAGUAUUGGAGAGGAGAACGGAAUUCCUGGUGUAGAGGUGAAAUUCGUAGAUAUCAGGAGGAACAACGAAGGCGAAGGCAGUUCUCUGGACAAUUACUGACGCUGAGGUGCGAAAGCGUGGGGAGCAAACGGGAUUAGAUACCCCGGUAGUCCACGCCGUAAACGAUGGAUACUAGAUGUCGGAAGACUUACCCUUUCGGUGUCGUAGCUAACGCGUUAAGUAUCCCGCCUGGGGAGUACGGCCGCAAGGCUAAAACUCAAAGAAAUUGACGGGGGCCCGCACAAGCGGUGGAGUAUGUGGUUUAAUUCGAUGCAACGCGAAGAACCUUACCUGGGUUUGACAUCCCGCGCUAUCCUGUGAAAGCAGGAGUUCCUUCGGGACGCGGUGACAGGUGCUGCAUGGCUGUCGUCAGCUCGUGUCGUGAGAUGUUGGGUUAAGUCCCGCAACGAGCGCAACCCCUGCCAUUAGUUGCCAGCAUUUAGGAUGGGCACUCUAGUGGGACCGCUAGCCGAUAAGGCAGAGGAAGGUGGGGAUGACGUCAAGUCCGCAUGGCCCUUACAUCCAGGGCUACACACGUACUACAAUGGCCAGUACAAAGCGCAGCUAGACCGCGAGGUUACGCUAAUCGCAUAAAGCUGGUCUCAGUUCGGAUUGGAGUCUGCAACUCGACUCCAUGAAGUUGGAAUCGCUAGUAAUCGUGGAUCAGCAUGCCACGGUGAAUACGUUCCCGGGCCUUGUACACACUGCCCGUCACACCAUGGGAGUUGGGUCCACCCGAAGGCCGUGCGCUAACCUUUCGAGGAAGCAGCGGACCACGGUGAGCUCAGCGACUGGGGUGAAGUCGUAACAAGGUAGCCGUAGGGGAACCUGCGGCUGGAUCACCUCCUU